GAUGAGGUUUCUUAGUUGGGUGUGAUGGAGGUCUUUGAUUGGCCAAGAGAAGGUCUUGGUCGACUUCUUCAUCAGCAGUUCGGAGUCAGCCACCUUCAAGAAACGACAGAGUUAUUAAGCUAAACAUAUGCAAUCUCGUUCCCGCAAUACCACGAUAAUGCAAUACAGCCCUCGUCUGGAGACGUGCCCCUCGUCUGGAGACGUGCCCCUCGUCUGGAGACGUGCCCCUCGUCUGGAGACGUGCCCCUCGUCUGGAGACGUGCCCCUCGUCUGGAGACGUGCCCCUCGUCUGGAGACGUGCCCCUCGUCUUAAAGACCUGCCCUGCCUUCUUUCUUACCAGUCAAGACCAGCGGCAAGGACUGCACUCUUGAGAAAGCAAGACGGCGAGAAGAGUCGACGGAGAGCGAUCUCAAUAAUUACGUAAGCUGGGUAUCCAGGGCUGCUUAAAAAAAUUUCUGGAAGCUUCAAUUUUUUUUUUUUGAUGUUGGGAGGCUGGUUGCCCGUUUUAAAACUCUAUAAUGAUUUUACUACAAAAUCAAAGUUACUGUUAAUUACUACAUGAUGAAGCAAGCACUUCAUCAUGGAGGUCGAAAUAACCAGAUGGUGCCUCGAGCGUACGGGGAACCAUAGAUUUUCCUCGGCGUCUGUCCAGAAAUAAGGUGUCUUUUCAUCCUGCACUUGUGAGACAAUUCCAGGAGAACAAAUACUGGAUAGUUUAACACACCAUAUUUGCAGUGAGCACUUCAACAUUUGGUCGAAAUAACCAGCUGGUGACACGGUGUACGGCCCGUAGAGUCGUUCCUUCCAUACUCUCCUCAUACAGCACAUGUCGACAAUCUAUGUUACCAAAUGCCGGUUAGUUAAAUACACCAUGAAUCCAAUACUUUUUCUUCAUCGCACCUGCAAGAGCGCCUCAGUUGCGUGGUCGGAAUGGUGUUGGCGUGCCACCUCGGUGGCCGCAAAUUCGAUUCUCUGGCAUUUCAUUGCGGAGUGAGUUGUGUAUUUUUGGUGACAAGUAGAAGUUCUCUUGACGUGGUUCAGAAGUCACGUAAAGCCGUUGGUCCCGUUGCUGAAUAACCACUGGUUCCAGGCAACGUAAAAACACCAUACAAACAAACAUCCAGCACCUGCAAGACAAUUCCAGUUACCAAAUCCUGGCUAGUUAAAUUCACCAUGAAUCCCAUAUUUUUUCUUGGUUGCACAACAGACAACCAAAAUAAAAGGAAUUAAACUUCAAAUUAUAUGAUACCAAAGUAUUUUUGGUGGCGAUCUAGCUACCAAGACGGAGUAGAUGACAACUAUAACUUUCUAAAUGCACUUCGAGAUUACUCAAUCUGUCUAGAUGUUUUGGCCGAGCAGGAAAUUUAAGAAUAUUUCAUUGACUGAUAAAAACUAUUCAAUUUGGCAACAUACCGACAUUGAGUGAUGCAACAUUGGUUGGUUAAUAUACUACACAGAUUAACUACGAGAGAGUGAGAAUAACUAUUACGCCACCUCCUCUUCAGCAAUAUACAGCAAAGGUAACUAACUACAAGUGGGCUUAGGAUAACUCCAAAGUUGGAAAACUGAAAGCAGUAUAUCAAAUAUUAUUUAAGGUAACAGAAAGCAAACUAUACAUAGGAUUAUAAGUCACUAGGUACGUAGCUAUUGGAACCACAAUAAUACUGAACGAAGAAAUUAUUUCGAAAAUUUACUCCAUGACACGAGAGAGAGAGAGAGCAGAACGGCUUCAUCACCAUUAUGAAGAAAAAAAUACAUCCUCAGUGAGUGAUUUCCUUUCGCUCAUGACUUUGUCUAUUUCUUAUAAAUUUUAAUCCCAUUGUAAUUAAAUACUGCUGAAAUUACGCCAGCUAAGUAGUUAAUGAAUAUAUACUUAACUUGAUGUAUCUGU